rnacentral:snRNA from 1 species
UCACUUAUUCUACAGUACAUAUACUAAAAUCUGAACAAGACAGAGAUUAACAUGGCCCUUGAGCAACGAUGACAUGAAAAUCUGUGAGUCACUCCAGAUUUUU